AAAGAAUUUCGGUAUGGGAUGGGGAUGCGUUCCAUUAGUUAGUUGGCGGGGUAACGGCCCACCAAGACAACGAUGGAUAGGGGUUCUGAGAGGAAGGUCCCCCACAUUGGAACUGAGACACGGUCCAAACUCCUACGGGAGGCAGCAGUGAGGAAUAUUGGUCAAUGGACGAGAGUCUGAACCAGCCAAGUAGCGUGAAGGAUGACUGCCCUAUGGGUUGUAAACUUCUUUUAUAUGGGAAUAAAACGUUCCACGUGUGGGAUUUUGUAUGUACCAUAUGAAUAAGGAUCGGCUAACUCCGUGCCAGCAGCCGCGGUAAUACGGAGGAUCCGAGCGUUAUCCGGAUUUAUUGGGUUUAAAGGGAGCGUAGGUGGAUUGUUAAGUCAGUUGUGAAAGUUUGCGGCUCAACCGUAAAAUUGCAGUUGAAACUGGCAGUCUUGAGUACAGUAGAGGUGGGCGGAAUUCGUGGUGUAGCGGUGAAAUGCUUAGAUAUCACGAAGAACUCCGAUUGCGAAGGCAGCUCACUGGACUGCAACUGACACUGAGGCUCGAAAGUGUGGGUAUCAAACAGGAUUAGAUACCCUGGUAGUCCACACAGUAAACGAUGAAUACUCGCUGUUUGCGAUAUACAGCAA
rnacentral:rRNA from 1 species